rnacentral:rRNA from 1 species
UACGUAGGGGGCUAGCGUUGUCCGGAUUUAUUGGGCGUAAAGAGCGUGUAGGCGGCCAGGUAGGUCUGGUGUGAAAACUCGAGGCUUAACCUCGAGAUGUCAUCGGAAACCAUUUGGCUAGAGUCCGGAAGAGGAGAGUGGAAUUCCUGGUGUAGCGGUGAAAUGCGCAGAUAUCAGGAAGAACACCAAUGGCGAAAAGCAGCUCUCUGGGACGGUACUGACGCUGAGACGCGAAAAGCGUGGGGAGCGAACAGG